UACGAAGGGGGCUAGCGUUGUUCGGAUUUACUGGGCGUAAAGCGCGUGUAGGCGGGUCGUUAAGUUGGGGGUGAAAUCCCGAGGCUCAACCUCGGAACUGCCUUCAAAACUGGCGACCUGGACUCAAGCAGAGGCAAGUGGAAUUGCGAGUGUAGAGGUGAAAUUCGUAGAUAUUCGCAGGAACACCCGUGGCGAAGGCGGCCAUCUGGACCAGUACUGACGCUGAGGCACGAAAGCGUGGGGAGCAAAC
rnacentral:rRNA from 1 species